rnacentral:tRNA from 1 species
AUUUAUGUAGUUUAAAAAACAUUACACUUUCAUUGUAAAAAUAAAGUCACAUUUCAUAAAUU